rnacentral:lncRNA from 1 species
CACAAACUUGGUUUCACAUUAGAAUCACCUGGAAAAAUUAUAAAAUUUCUUGGGCUCCAAUUGAGGUGAACCGAGAUAAAAUCUUUGGGAAAUGAGGCCCAGAUUUCCAAAUGUUUUUGAUGUUAAGCAGGAGUUGCCAUAACCUGCAGAGCAAAGGGUCUGAAGCUGGGGAGAGCGGUGGGAGACAAAGAAAAGAUGAUGAAGACAUCAAGAUUAUUCUUAAUAGCUGUGACCAGCCUGAUGAGCUACUGGCCAUCUGAUGUCUAGUGUGCUCUUUAUUUAUAGUGUAGGAAAGUGGGGUAACUAGAGCCACAAGGCUGAAUGACUGUCUUGUGAUGAGGCAUGCACAGAAAAGGAACAAGGGUACAUAAUGGACCUGUGCCAUCCAGGAUCUACAAUCUUAAUCAAACAGACUGUCUCAUCUAUGGAGAAAGGGAGUAGGGAAGAGAAGAAGGGCAUUUAGUCUACUAAUACAGUGAACUGCAGUGAUUAAUUUUAAAUGUUGAAUCAGUCUUGUAUUCAAGGAAUGAAUCCCAC